rnacentral:rRNA from 1 species
CCUAAUACAUGCAAGUCGAGGGGUAACAUGUCUGCUUGCAGAUGAUGACGACCGGCGCACGGGUGCGUAACGCGUAUGCAACCUACCUAUAACAGAGGGAUAGCCCAGAGAAAUUUGGAUUAAUACCUCAUGACACUGUGAGACCACAUGGUUUUAUAGUUAAAACUCCGGUGGUUAUAGAUGGGCAUGCGUUAGAUUAGCUAGUUGGUAAGGUAACGGCUUACCAAGGCAACGAUCUAUAGGGGGUCUGAGAGGAUGGUCCCCCACACUGGAACUGAGACACGGUCCAGACUCCUACGGGAGGCAGCAGUAGGGAAUAUUGGUCAAUGGAGGCAACUCUGAACCAGCCAUGCCGCGUGUAGGAAGAAGGCGUUCUGCGUCGUAAACUACUUUUAUAUGGGAAGAAACGCUCUUUGCGAAGAGCUAUGACGGUACCAUAAGAAUAAGGACCGGCUAACUCCGUGCCAGCAGCCGCGGUAAUACGGAGGGUCCGAGCGUUGUCCGGAAUUAUUGGGUUUAAAGGGUACGUAGGCGGAAUAAUAAGUCAGAGGUGAAAUCCUGCAGCUCAACUGUAGAACUGCCUUUGAAACUGUUAUUCUUGAGUAUGGUAGGGGUAAGCGGAAUUUAUAAUGUAGCGGUGAAAUGCAUAGAUAUUAUAAAGAACACCGAUAGCGAAGGCAGCUUACUGGACCAUAACUGACGCUAAUGUACGAAAGCGUGGGUAGCGAACAGGAUUAGAUACCCUGGUAGUCCACGCCGUAAACGAUGCUCACUCGCUGUUGGC